CACUUAGAUGUCCUGGGCCGCACGCGCGUUACACUGAUGCAUUCAACGAGCUUAUAACCUUGGCCGAGAGGCCUGGGCAAUCUUGUUAACGUGCAUCGUGAUAGGGAUAGAUUAUUGAAAUUAUUAAUCUUGAACGAGGAAUUCCUAGUAAACGCAGAUCAUCAAUCUGCAUUGAUUACGUCCCUGCCCUUUGUACACACCGCCCGUCGCACCUACCGAUUGGAUGGUCCGGUGAAGCCUCGGGAUUGUGGUUCUUGCCGCUUUAUUGUGGCGUGACCGCGAGAACUUGUCUAAACCUUAUCAUCUAGAGGAAGGUGAAGUCGUAACA
rnacentral:rRNA from 1 species